rnacentral:lncRNA from 1 species
CAAAUCAAUCUUGUCACUCCUCAGAAAGCAAUGCAAGAUAAUAAGUAGUAUUCACCUGAUUGCUUUCCUGCUCCGAGACAGCUGGUGACGCGUGUCUUCCUGAUAACCAAGAGUUUCAGAUCUAAGGCAGGGAUAAAGGGAAGCCGGGAGCUCGCAGAAUCUAAAUUUGACAGUCGAUGGCUGAGGAGAGGGUCAGGAAGGAUAGAAUCUGUGACACGUAUGAGAAGGGAACAAAAUUUAUCUGCUCUGGUUGCAAUGAUUAGAUGUCUCUUUGUCUGGCUUUCUUACAGCGGUUGACUGAUUGUACCCGCCAGCUGGCUAAUAUCAUAAUUAACAAAGUUGCUACUACAUCUGCAAAGUUUAAUCGAAAAAUUUGCCAGUGAUAUGAUGGCAUUGUCACAAAGAUCACAAGGGACACGGAGUUGACUUUUGCUCAAGGUGGAAUGGCAAAGCUGUAUGGGCAAGAUGAGAAAUCGUGCACUUGUUCAGCCAAAGG